rnacentral:lncRNA from 1 species
UUAAAUUGAAUAUAUAAAAAAGAAGAUGUGGUAUGAUUGCCAAUGAGACAACUAUCCACAAAAGACCAAAAUGACACAGACAUUAACAACUAUAGGUCACUGUACGGCCUUCUACAAUGAGCAAAGCCCAUACCGCAUAGUCAGCUAUAAAAGGCACCGAUAAGACAAUGUAAAACAAUUCAAACGAGAAAACUAACGGCCUUAUUUAUGUAAAAAAAAAAUGAACGAAAAACAAAUAUGUAACGCAUAAAAAAACGACAACCACUGAAUUACAGGCUCCUAACUUGGGACAGGCACAUACAUUAAUAAUGUGGCGGGGUUAAACAUGUUAGCGGGAUCCCAAUCCUCCCC